rnacentral:rRNA from 1 species
UACACUCCUACGGGAGGCAGCAGUGGGGAAUAUUGGACAAUGGGCGCAAGCCUGAUCCAGCCAUGCCGCGUGAGUGAUGAAGGCCCUAGGGUUGUAAAGCUCUUUCACCGGUGAAGAUAAUGACGGUAACCGGAGAAGAAGCCCCGGCUAACUUCGUGCCAGCAGCCGCGGUAAUACGAAGGGGGCUAGCGUUGUUCGGAUUUACUGGGCGUAAAGCGCACGUAGGCGGACUAUUAAGUCAGGGGUGAAAUCCCGGGGCUCAACCCCGGAACUGCCUUUGAUACUGGUAGUCUUGAGUUCGAGAGAGGUGAGUGGAAUUCCGAGUGUAGAGGUGAAAUUCGUAGAUAUUCGGAGGAACACCAGUGGCGAAGGCGGCUCACUGGCUCGAUACUGACGCUGAGGUGCGAAAGCGUGGGGAGCAAACAGGAUUAGAUACCCCAGUAGUCCCAUG